rnacentral:tRNA from 1 species
GGAUUUUUAGCUCAGCGGUGUAAGUGCCCGCCUGGCAAGCGGGAGGUCUUGAGUUCCAUCCUCAGUACCA